AUCCAGCUGACGAGUCCCAAAUAGGACGAAACUAUGCAU
rfam:Schistosoma curassoni strain Dakar, Senegal genome assembly, scaffold: SCTD_scaffold0003031